UUGUUUGCAGGCUACUCUUAAUC
rnacentral:piRNA from 1 species